GCUGAAGAAGGAGCCCCCAAGUUCUCGUCAUCCUUCGCAUGCCUCUAAGAUUCGAAGACAAGCGGAUCCCAAAAAGUCCAUGGUCAAAUUCAAACGGGACCUAGACCCGUCAACCAAUCUUUUUCUUCAGCUCCCUUACCUGCCCCCUCCUCCGUGGCCGUUCGACCAGCCCACCUUUCACAUGCAAAGGCUUAUUUUCUAAUGAACUUGGAAUCAUCAACCCUUCUCGUGCAAGCAUUUCCACAGGCUUCCUUGUUUCUUUGAGCACGCAAUAUCAAUAUAUUUGCUCGAAGUGUCGCCAUGUUAUUGAUUGGUUGAUAAAGAUAAUGCGGAAAAGUAUGACCAGGAAUAAGAGUUCUUUGGUUGGGUGAUACUUUGUCAAGAGGUGGUGACUUAUGAGCCUCUGGUUUCUAGUAUCGUCUUUGACCACAAAACCAUAGGAGAGAAGGGCCAAUGAAUGGCGUACGUGCCUCAUUUACUUGGAAUGCAUGCCUUUUCCUCUAAAUUCUUGCUCUUUUUUUUUUGCUGAACUUAUUUUUGCAAAAUACAUCCAUCAAUC
rnacentral:lncRNA from 1 species